GUCCCGGUAGACGCCGAUAUGCGCAACGCGCGCCGAGGGUACCAGUUCGAGCAU
rnacentral:sRNA from 1 species